UAUAAAAAGACUGUUUUUCUUCUCCUUGUGACAUGUUGUGUAACUGCAACCCUGGAGAGAGCUGCCAGUGAGGAAAAGCAUCAGGAUCAGCUCUGCUUUGCCCAGGCAAAAAUGGGCUUCUGUCUUUUACUAUCGAGCACGAAUACCCAGCCUGUAACCUAAAGACACACUGUGGGAAUGGAAAAGCAGCAGAUGAAGGUGGUCUUUUGCUCAGAGUUUCUAAUGUCCACCUACCUUGCACCGAGACAAAAGGCUCCCCUCUAGCAUUUUCUGGGGGUUACGCUAGCAGUCAUACUUCUGUGCCUGUUUUUAAUCUUCCUUGACACUUCCGCAGCAAUGCACAUGCCCUGAAGACUUAACUUGUCCCAGCUGAGCUGUUGCAGAACUCAAAAUGUGAAAACAAGAUAAAAAAAACCCUGCUGUCUCCCUUGACAGUGCAGGCUUGCUGCAGCCCCUGAUGAAAGUACAAACAGUACAAAGAGAUACCCAGCCAAGUGAAUAACUGCUUCAGCUGGGGACUAGCCAGAACUACAAGUAAACAUUUGGGCUGGAGACUAGAAAAUCUAUGCUGUGAAGGAUGUUACAGGCCAUUGUCUGGAUACUGCCGCUGGUGUUUAGGAGAGAUGAGGUUACUGCUCAGCAAAGAAGCAAGUCAGAAUGAAUAUGUAAACUGUUGCAAAGAAGUCAACUUCUUGAAAGCAAGGAGAGAUUGAAAACAUCUGCCAAGCUUCCCCAGCCUUCAAAAAUCAGGUGUGCAGGCUGUGGACACUUAGGGGCAUCCCACAGAGGUGUGAUCCUGACAGCAGCAAGGACAACAGAAAAUACACACAUGGGAAUGGGGUCAGGCCUAAUCAGCUGGAAUCCCUUUGGUGAGAAAUUGUUUGCCUUAACAAGUUUGGACACUAUAGAAAUUGCCUACAACUACCAGCUGAAUAUGCAUUAAAAAUCAUCAUUCAUGAGAAAGUGGUACCCAGUUAAAUCAACUGCAUAUGUGUAAUAAAUUACUUGGACAAGUCACUAUACAGUUGAGACCUUUCAUAUUGUCAUGUGUUUACAUACCCUCUAUUUUGCAUUUAGCAGGGACAACUUACUAAGUUUCACCAUCUCAGCUUUAUGGGUCUGGCACACUGAAUAAAAAUUUCCCAGCC